rnacentral:rRNA from 1 species
AUGGCGUCCAUGAUGGGAGGAGACUUCGUGGAGGCCUACGUGCUCAAGAACGCCUACAAGGAGAAGCUGAGGCGCAUGGACCAAGCCGAAGCCGCGGCGGCGCUCGACGGCGCAAAGAGCAGCAAGGACGCCGCCGGGGCCGCUGGAGAGAAGAAGGAGGCUGGUGGUGCGAGCAGCAGGGGAGGAUUCUUUGGCCUCAUGAAGAAGAAGGUGCACCCCAAACCCAAAGCGGCGGCGGGGGCGGCCACUUCCUCUUGA